GAUGAACGCUGGCGGCGUGCCUAAUACAUGCAAGUCGAGCGAACAGACGAGGAGCUUGCUCCUCUGACGUUAGCGGCGGACGGGUGAGUAACACGUGGAUAACCUACCUAUAAGACUGGGAUAACUUCGGGAAACCGGAGCUAAUACCGGAUAAUAUAUUGAACCGCAUGGUUCAAUAGUGAAAGACGGUUUUGCUGUCACUUAUAGAUGGAUCCGCGCCGCAUUAGCUAGUUGGUAAGGUAACGGCUUACCAAGGCAACGAUGCGUAGCCGACCUGAGAGGGUGGUCGGCCACACUGGAACUGAGACACGGUCCAGACUCCUACGGGAGGCAGCAGUAGGGAAUCUUCCGCAAUGGGCGAAAGCCUGACGGAGCAACGCCGCGUGAGUGAUGAAGGUCUUCGGAUCGUAAAACUCUGUUAUUAGGGAAGAACAAAUGUUUAAGUAACUAUGCACGUCUUGACGGUACCUAAUCAGAAAGCCACGGCUAACUACGUG
rnacentral:rRNA from 1 species